CCAGAAUGCCGUUGCGCUGUUACGAUCCAGGCAAACCAAUUUUAGGUCUUUUUUUUUCUUUUGAGCCACACCAGUUCUCUCUUUCGGGUCAGAUUCCCCGAGAGCGCCUGGACGAGCGCCCGUGCCCGUCUUCCUCCUCGUGCCAAAAGCAGCACACACGCGCGCCGCCCUCCGCAAUCUUCGCCCUCGACGAUGCCUCCUCGGCCCGUGACCCAUUCAGGUGCUCUGAACCGUAUCCCACGGCCCUUCCCUUCCUUUUUCCCUCCUCAAUCAUCCCCCACAAUCACGGCUGAAUCGCCUUAGCGCGCGUUGUGGUAGCGGCUCCCGAGUGAUCGCCGACGUGGCGAGAACACGAAGUGUGACACUGAGGAGUUUACCCAGGUUCGGGCCACCCGAAGGUGUAAUACCCUACGUCCUGCUUUUGUGCUUGGAUUCCAUUGAUUUAAGCGUGUUUACAGGUUGCCGGGGGUGGCUCCCCGGCUAGUUACUUGAACUCCUAAGAGCCUCUCAGCUCUGCCUAUCUUAGUGUUACUAUGUG
rnacentral:lncRNA from 1 species